AUCAAAUCAAGGAGAGUCACCAGAGAAUAACAGAGGAGCUACAAAAGUAUGGUGUCGACAUACCGGAAGAUGAAAAUGAAAAAAUGUUCUUCCUGAUAGAUAAAGUUAAUGCCUUUAAUCAGGACAUCUCUGCUCUCAUGCAAGGAGAGGAAACUGUAGGGGAGGAAGACAUUCGGCUGUUUACCAGACUCCGACACGAGUUCCACAAAUGGAGUACAAUAAUUGAAAACAAUUUUCAAGAAGGCCAUAAAAUUUUGAGUAGAAAAAUCCAGAAAUUUGAAAAUCAGUAUCGUGGUAGAGAGCUGCCAGGCUUUGUGAAUUACAGGACAUUUGAGACAAUCGUGAAACAGCAAAUCAAGGCGCUGGAAGAGCCGGCUGUGGAUAUGCUACACACCGUGACGGGUGAGUGCUCAGUUUCACCUCUGAGCAUUGAUUUCUAAAGAAGGGAAAGGUUCAAACCAAAGCCAGCACCAAACUUCAGCACUUUCCUCCUGGGGUGCCUCCCACACCAACGAGCAAACCUCUCAUUCUCCAGAUGCCAAGUUGGUAUUCAACAAUUCAAUUCAAUUCUGUCACUAACUACCCUCAGUCAGUGUGGACCCCAUAGCUUAAGGGUUCAGUUCCACAACACUGGCCCCAACUACAAAUGCCGGUCACAAGUCCCAGACCUCCCAUUCUUCUGAUGGACUGUUUAUAAAUCAAGGUUCUUGCGACCCAUUCCUCAGGUCAACCAAGAACUCUGGAACACACUUCACUGACAUUUACCGGUCUAUUAGAAAGGACUUGAUAAGGGGCACAAAUGAAGCUGUUGGAGAGGCACAUAGUAGGGGCCUGAACACAGAAGCUUCUGUCCCCACGGGGUUGGGGGCACCACCCUCAUGGCACAGGGAUG
rnacentral:sRNA from 1 species